rnacentral:rRNA from 1 species
UACGUAGGGUGCUAGCGUUGUUCGGAAUCAUUGGGCGUAAAGCGCGUGUAGGUGGUUAGUUAAGUCGGGUGUGAAAUCCCUGGGCUCAACCGAGGAAGUGCAUCCGAAACUAACUAGCUAGAGAAUGGUAGAGGAAGGUGGAAUUCCUAGUGUAGAGGUGAAAUUCGUAGAUAUUAGGAGGAAUACCGGUGGCGAAGGCGGCCUUCUGGACCAUUUCUGACACUGAGACGCGAAAGCGUGGGGAGCAAACAGG